rnacentral:rRNA from 1 species
GUCGAGCGAGAACCAUUCCUUCGGGAAUGGGGACAGCGGCGAACGGGUGAGUAACACGUGGGUAACCUGCCCUGAAGACUGGGACAACCCGAGGAAACUCGGGCUAAUACCAGAUGUGGUCCCUCUUCUUCAAGGAGAGUGACUAAAGGAAGCUUCGGCCUCCGCUUCAGGAGGGGCCCGCGGCCCAUUAGCUUGUUGGUGAGGUAACGGCUCACCAAGGCUUCGAUGGGUAGCUGGUCUGAGAGGACGAUCAGCCACACUGGGACUGAGACACGGCCCAGACUCCUACGGGAGGCAGCAGUGGGGAAUCUUGCGCAAUGGGCGACAGCCUGACGCAGCAACGCCGCGUGGGGGAAGAAGGCCUUCGGGUUGUAAACCUCUUUCAGGAGGGACGAAGCUUCGCCGGUGAAUAGCCAUGCGGAGUGACGGUACCUUCACAAGCAGCCCCGGCUAACUACGUGCCAGCAGCCGCGGUAAUACGUAGGGGGCAAGCGUUGUCCGGAAUCAUUGGGCGUAAAGCGCGCGUAGGCGGCCAGAUAAGUCCGGUGUGAAAGUCAAAGGCUCAACCUUUGAAUGCCGCUGGAAACUGUCUGACUAGAGUCCGGAAGGGGCGAGUGGAAUUCCUGGUGUAGCGGUGAAAUGCGCAGAUAUCAGGAGGAACACCUAUGGCGAAGGCAGCUCGCUGGGACGGUACUGACGCUGAGGCGCGAAAGCGUGGGGAGCAAACAGGAUUAGAUACCCUGGUAGUCCACGCCGUAAACGAUGGGCACUAGGUGUGGGAGGUGUCGACUCCUCCCGUGCCGAAGCUAACGCAUUAAGUGCCCCGCCUGGGGAGUACGGCCGCAAGGCUAAAACUCAAAGGAAUUGACGGGGACCCGCACAAGCAGCGGAGCAUGUGGUUCAAUUCGACGCAACGCGAAGAACCUUACCUGGGCUUGACAUGUGAGCGACCGCCGUGAAACACGGUUUCCCUUCGGGCGCUCUCACAGUGUGCAUGGCUGUCGUCAGCUCGUGCCGUGGAGGUGUGGGUAGUCCCGCACGAGCGCACCC